rnacentral:rRNA from 1 species
CACCUUCGGAGUACACUAGGCCUGAGAAUAGCUAGUCGUCGUAGUAGAUUGAAGACCCUCGCUCAUCAGGCGGAGUUGCGUCUCAAACUACGAGGCUAGAGUGAGUUAGGAGGUGUGUGGUAGCUUUCUAGUGCAGCGGUGAGAUGUGUGAUAUUGUAAGGAACGACCGCUGGCGAAAGCGACACACUGGACCUCGUCUGACGCUGAGGCACGAAAGACAGGGGAGCAAACGGGAUUAGAUACCCCCGGUAGUCCUGGCCCUAAACGGUGCGCACUUGCUGUGAGUAGAUUUAAAACAUACUCGUGGCGUAGUUAACACGUUAAGUGCGCCGCCUGAGGAGUACGGUCGCAAGAUUAAAACUCAAAGAAAUAGACGGGGGCCUGCACAAGCGGUGGAGUAUGUGGCUUAAUUUGAUGCAACGCGAAGAACCUUACCUGGUCUUGACAUGCAAGUAGUAGAAGCCUGAAAGGGUGACGAGAUAGCAAUAUCAGCUUGCACAGGUGCUGCAUGGCUGUCGUCAGCUCGUGUCGUGAGAUGUUGGGUUAAGUCCCGCAACGAGCGCAACCCCUGUGUCCUGUUGCCAGCCUCGCAAGAGGGGAACUCUGGACAGACUGCCCCGCUUCAACGGGGAGGAAGGUGGGGAUGACGUCAAGUCAGUAUGGCCCUUACGACCAGGGCUGCACACGUACUACAAUGCCUGGUACAGUGGGCUGCAAACCAGCAAUGGGGAGCAAAUCCUAAAAACCAGGCCCAGUUCAGAUUGUCGGCUGCAACUCGCCGGCAUGAAGCUGGAAUCGCUAGUAAUGGCGCAUCAGCUACGGCGCCGUGAAUACGUUCCCAGGCCUUGUACACACCGCCCGUCACAUCAUGAAAGCCGGUUGUACCCGAAGCCGCUGAGUCAACCGCAAGGAGGCAGGCGUCUAAGGUAUGGCUGGUGAUUGGGAUGAAGUCGUAACAAGGUAACC